UCUUUCUCUCUCUCUCUCUCUCGCUCUUCUAGCCCUCUUUCUCUCUCCCUCCCCCCCUCUCUCUCUCUCUCUCUCUCUCUCUGUGGUGAUGAUGUAUUUAAUUUUUCGGUCAUCUUCUCCAUUUGAAUCUGAUCUAUUAUGAACAUGGAUUAUUUUUACCGGUCGUGGAACGUAGGAUGCUAAUACGCAAUUCAAUAAUGUGUUUGGCACGAAUGGUACGAAAGAGAUUAUUCGCACCUUUCGAUCCAAGAUCUUUCACGCCAAGUGUAGAUACGAAUUGUACGAAAGGGCCUAUUUACACCAUUCGUUCGAAGAUAUGUCUCGCCAAGUAUUGGCACGAACGGAACGAAAUGGCCUAAUCGCACCAUUCGUGCUAAGUGUUCUCGCGACAGAUCUUUGCACAAAUAGAACGAAAAAGCCUAUUCACAUCAUCCAAAAUCUGUUGUGCCAACACUUGGUAUGAAGAGUCUAUUCACACCAUUCGUUCCAAAUUCUGUUGCGCCAACACUUGGAACGAAUGGUUCAAAAGAAAUCAUUCGUACCACUCGUUUCAAGAUUUAUGGCGCCAACACUUAGCAUGAAUGGUAUGAAAGAACUCAUUCGUACCAUUCGUCUCUAAAAAAAAUGCAAGUUGUUCUAGCAGAUAAAACUAUAGUCUAGCAGUUUGUUUCGAUAAAUUCAAGUACAAUUCAUGAACAAAAUUCGAAUAAAUAAUUUUUUCAUUUUCUUCAUUUUCCAACAAAUCAAAUUCCAAAUCAAAUGAGCAAAGUAAUACAAAAUCUCACAAAUCUAACUAAAUGUUGGAACUAAAUCUUCAUUUUAUUCAUUGGAAAAGAGGAGGGCGUCGUCCGACGGCUAUAGUGAAUUCAUAUUCUUGAGAUGACUGGAGAUUAUUUUCUUUCUCACUCCAAUAAGUCUCCACUUGUGCACUUGGCACAAAUGCCUUGAAUGAACUUUUUCUACCAUCUGUGCCAGGUAUAUGUACAAACGAUCUUGAAACGGUUAGAACAUGGUGUUAGUGGGCCUAUUUGCAACAUUCGUUCCAACACUUGACGCGACAGAUCUUGAAACGGACGGAAUGGAUGGUGCUAAUUAAUAAGCCCAUUAGCACAUCUAUUCCUACACUUGGCACAGAAGGUCUUGGAAUGAAAGAUCUCGUCGAUUUGAAAUUAUAUUUGACGACGAUGGCAUGGUGGUCAGUGGUGAAGCCUAUCAAAUUUUGGAGAAGAUCAUGGCGACAACGACGUUCGGUUGAAUCGGAGAAGAGGAUGGUGACGACGACGAAGAAAAUCAGAGAAGACGAUGACGAUGACAACAAUGAUAAUGGGAAUCUGAAAAGUGGACCAAGAAAUAGGGAGUCGUCGUCGUUGUCGGAGAGAGAGAGAGAGAGAGAG